AUAUCUGGUGAACUCACUUUCUCCUAAUGGGAUGGUAAAGCAUAAAAUCAAUUCUGGCGUUGACCGCCACCGAUACUGAAUGACGCACACAGCGAGAGAACUAAGCGACUUGGCUGAGCUGGUGCAUUAGUAACCUGAUUCUGAGAACGAACAUCCCUGUUGCCCUGCUUAGUAUACGGACACUCUUUGAUUCCGUGGCCCAACUUGCGACACCCAUAACAACCUCUUUUGCCAAUCAAAUACUCACCAGGAUGGGUCCUGUCAACAAGAUGAUGUAACUUUGUUAGUUACAUUAGUUUAUACAAAGUGCAGUUCAGGAGAAAGGCAAGUUCUAUGGGAUUCAUUAUUAGACAUGGCUGAUUUUCAAUAGCCUUGGCUAAUAGGAGGGAAUUUUAAUGUAAUAAGAAAUGAAGAAUAAAAAUUGGGGGGAUUACUAGUUACACUGAAUGAAACUCAGGAUUUUAAUCAGUGUAUAAGUUUAUGCAAUUUAGAAAAGAGAUAAUACAUAGAAACACCCCGAAACUUGUAGCCAAAACUUACUUUAGACCCUAAACUUGUAUGGAAAUUAUUUACCCCCCUUAACAACUUUAAAGUAAAAAUGUUUACCACCCUAAAAAAUUAUACCACUCUCACUACGGAGAGGGAAGUACACACGCCCCACGUCUUUGCCAACUCAGUGCCAUGUCAUUGCCACGUAAGAAAUUAUAAUUUUUUUAAAAGAAGUAAUCCAACACACAUAUUAUUGUUAUAUAUAUUUUUUAAAAAAUAAAUAUAUAAAUUAUUUAUAUAUUAUUUUUUAUAUAUAUAUAUAUAUAUAAAACCCCCCCCACCCCAUUCCUCCUCCUUCUUCUUCUUCAAUAGCCCACCCCACCCCCAUCGUUCCUCUUUCUCCUUAUGCUUUAAUAGCCCCCCACCCCCACCCCCUCUUUCCUCCUUCUCCUUAUGUUUCAACAUUCCCUGCCACCAUUAACACCAAUAACUUUCACUUAAUUAAUGACUCACCGAAAAAUACCUACCUUCACCAUGAACCACCCUACAAAUUCCCCCAAAUCACCUAAAAACACCACAACCACCACAAAAAGAAUCUCAAAAUCUCAAGAAUCCCACAAAGUCUUCACCGAAAAUGAUUUCACCAUUAAAACCAUUAACAUCAUUAUUUCACCAUUAACAUCAUAAACACCAAUAACUUGAUACAACAAUGCACCCCAACCCCCCUCCCUUCCCCGAUUCCUUUUCUUCUUCUUUAACAGUCAAAUCCCCCCAUUAACAUCAUUAUUUCGACCUUCAAUUUUAGCUUCCUCCUAAUUUUUAAUAGUGAAAUCCACCAACUCAUUCACCUAAUUAUUCAUCAAAUUUGGGAAGUGGAUCAAUUUAAAGUGAAUGACAAAUUAGAGAAGAAAAAAUUUCUAAUAGAGCCUUUUUCAGUGUGGUUGACCAUCUCCGAUAGGUGGUUGACUAUCUCCGAUAUGUGCCACCAACUCAGUGAAUGAUUGUUUUUGCUCUAUUCAAUAACCCUUUGAUUUAUUUUUGCUCUAUUCAGCAACCCUUUAGCUCAAACAUUGAAAGAAAUUAUAUGUGAUCUUUGUUUUUUUGCUUGUGCUUCUGUAAUGUAGAUAUGACCAAACAAGAAAGCUAUUUUUUUUCAAGAGUUCGGAAAAUGUAUUGUGGUGAUGAUUUGCUUACAAAAAUAGAGUUGUUACGAAGAAUAAAAAAUGGAGUUGUUGGGGUGGGGAAGGGGAUUGUUAUGAAGAAAAAAGUGAAAGUUGACUUCUUUUUUUUUUCUUUAGAUUUAUAUAUAUAUAAUUUGGGAAAUUUAAAAGUUGGGACCCACUUCUUUUAUUUUUUUAAAGACAUUAACGCGCUGAUUUUUAAAAAAAUUGCUACGUCAGUAAUUAAGGUGGUAAAAAAUUCACUUUAAAGUUUUUAAGGAAGGUAAAUAAUUACUCGAUUAGUUUAGGGUCUAAAGUAAGUUUUGGAUACAAGUUUAGGUGUGUUUCGAUGUAUUAUCUCUUUAGAAAAACCUUAGUUUAAAGAAAGUAAGUAUACUUGGUGGAAUGGUAGAACAGAUGAUGCAUUUAUAUUUAAAAGGUUGGAUAGGGUGUUGUUCAAUGAUAGAUUACAUAAUUUGUUUCAGACAUUAGAGGUGGAACAUCUUCCUAGAAGUGGUUCUGAUCAUGCUUCUUUACUGAUUCAAUUUAAGAUGGAGAAAGGCAAGUAAUCAGAUCUUUUAGAUUCCUAAAUCUAUGGUUGAAGGAUUAGACAUGUUUGGAAGUGAUAAAGGACAAUUGGAAAGAAGAUAUAAGUGGUAAUCCUUUCAUUGUGUAUCAUCAUAAAAUGAAGAAAGUUAAAUCAGCAUUGAUAAGAUGGAGCAAAGAGGCCUUUGGAAACAUAUUUCAGGAAAUUGCCACUUUGGAAGAUGUUCUGAAAGUUAAAGAAAAGAAAUUUGAAGAGAUGCCUGAUGGAGAAAAUAGGGAAGCUUUGAGUAAAGAUCAGGCUGAAUUAAACCUUCAAUUAAAGAGAGAGAAAGAAUUUUGGAAGCAGAAAGCAAGAUAUGAAUGGUUUAAAGAUGAAGAAAGAAAUACAAAGUUCUUUCAUGCAAUUGUCAAAGGAAGGAGAAGCAGAUUAAGAGUUGGGAGGAUAUAGAAUGAAGAAGAGAUAUGGAUAGAAGAAGAACAACCAAUAGCAGAUGCAGCAGUAGAUUUUUUCCAGAAACAGUUCACUAAGCAGGAAGAUGCAGAGAAUUUUACCAUGCUAGAUGAGAUACCGACGUUGGUAACUGAUGAGCAGAAUAGGGAUAUUCAGAAAAUUCCUACUGAAGAUGAAGUAAGAGAAGUAGUAAUAGGGUUAAAUAGGAAUAGUGCAAGGGACUUGAUGGAAUGAUAGGAGCAUUCUUUCAAGAUGCAUGGAACAUUAUCAAGGAGGACAUACAUAGAAUGGUAAUUGCCUUCUUUUGUGGUUAUCAGAUUUCAAGAUUCAUUACUUAUACUAAUUUGGUGUUGUUACCAAAAAAGUUAGUAGUGAAUACUUUUUCAGAUAUAAAACCAAUUUCCCUGAAUAAUUUUAUGAAUAAAAUUUUCUCAAGAAUUAUUCAUGAAAGGAUCAAAGGAAUUCUACUCAACCAAUAUCACCUGAGCAAGCAAGUUUUGUAUAGGGGAGAAGUAUUGCUGAAAAUAUUUUGGUGGUUCAGGAGAUGGUAUCAGAAAUAAGAAAGAGGGGUAAACCACCUAACAUGGUUAUGAAGUUAUAUAUGAUGAAGGCUUAUGAUAGGGUUGAAUGACUUUUUUUUAAUAAAGGUGUUGAGAAAAAUGGGUUUUUCAGAAAUGUUGAUAAACAUGGUGUUUAGGUUGUUAGAGAAUAACUGGUAUUCAAUAUUACUGAAUGGGCAGCCUAAAGGAUUUUUUAAAUCAUCAAGAGGUCUGAAAUAAGGAGACCCUCUAUCACCUACUUUGUUCAUUAUGGCAGCUGAAUUUUUGUCUAGAAAUCUGAAGAAAUUGAUGCUGGAAAAGGAGUUUAAGUUGUUUGGUAUGCCAAGAGGGAGUCCUAAGUUAAAUCACUUGGCUUUUGUAGAUGAUAUGAUAAUUUUAUGCAAAGCUGAAGUGAAAACUAUGCAGAUGGUAUUAAUACAUUGGAUGGAUAUGAAAUGUAUCUGGGCAGAAGAUAAAUAAGGAAAAGAGUGCUAUUUAUUUACGUAGAAGGGUGUCAAAUGGAAUAGGAGUUAUGGCAGAAGUGGCUAUAGGCAUCCUGAGGAAAGACUUUCCUUUCAUGUACCUUGGUUGUCCCAUAUUCUAUAUGAGGAAUAAAGAGUAUUAUCAACAAUUGGUGAAUAGAAUAGCAAAUAAGGUACAGACAUGGAAAGGAAAACUUCUAUCAUAUGGAGGUAGAGCAGUAUUGAUCGAGCAUGUAUUGCAGAGUGUUCCUAUACAUUGCUUGUCAGUAAUGAACCCCCCUCUAAAUGUCUUGAAUUAUAUUCAAAAAAUUAUAGCACAAUUUUUUUGGUACAGCAGAAUAGGGGGAAAGGGAGCUAUUGGGUGAAGUGGAAAGAUGUGUGUUUUCCACAAAAAGAAGGGGGCCUAGGAUUUAGAAGAAUUUCUGAUAUCUCUGUGGCAUUAUUUUGUAAAAUAUGGUGGACUUUUAGAACAUCUUCCAUCUGGAGUGAGUAUAUGUAUAACAAGUACUAUAAAAAGGAGUAUCCAAAUAUGGUGAUAUGAAAAAUUGGUGCAGGGGGAUCCCAAAUGUAGAAAAAGAUGUUAAGUGCUAAAGAUAUGGUGGAAUAUUUAAUAGUAUGGCAACUAAGAGAAGGGAAUGCUAAUUUAUGGUUAGAUAAUUGGACUGGUCAGGGGGAUUUGUAUUCACUAUGGAAGGGAACUGGGAUGAAAAUUUGGUUACAAGUAUGCUCUCACUAGAUAUGGUUGAACAUAUUUUAACCAAAGUACAUCCACCAAAGGGAGAAGGACAGGAUAGUGUUGUAUGAAGUAUAGAAUCAAAUGGAACAUUUAUAGUGAAGACUGCUUGGCAAUAUAUCAGGAAUAAAGGACAAAUGAGUAAGAUAUACAGGAAUAUUUGGAUUAAAGGGAUGCCUUUUAAAAUAUGUUUUUUUAUGUGGAAGUUAUGGAGAGGCAAAAUUCCUGUGGAUGAUUGUGCAAGAAAAUGGGGAAUGCAUGGUCCAUCUAAAUAUUGAUGCUGUGAAGAGCCUGCAGUGGAGACAAUCACCCAUGUCUUCAAAAGAUCAUAUUAUGCUAAUAGGACUUGGUCCUAUUUUUCUUCUUUUACAGGUAUUUCUAUUCAGGAACUAACUCUAAGUGGUACUAUUAUCAAAUAGUGGGAAUUUUAGGUGAAAAGGAGAGUUCAACCAUAUUUUCAUGCACUACUUAGCAUUAUUUUAUGGGAGAUAUGGAGGACAAGAAACAGAAAGAAACAUGAUAAUAAGAGUACAACAGGAUUGAGGUUGAUUUAUAAUAUAACAAAGGCUUUAAGGUUGUUGUUGAUGGUCAGAAACCCAGCAAGAAGUUUUCCUACUGAUUGGCCACAAAUAUUGCAGGAAUUAGCCAAACAUAGGAGCAAGAUCAAGGUUACUAAAGUGAUGUGGGAGGAACUAGAAGAGGGAUUGAUGAAAUACAAUACAGAUGGAGCAUUCAGAGGGGAAGAUGGUGAAAGCUCAUAUGUUUUCUGUUUGAGAAAUAAGAAGGGUGAUAUUAUAUAUGCUAAAGCAGAUCCACAACACUAUGCAGAUAGUUUACAAGCAAAGGCACAUGCAAUUUUAUAUGCAGCAAGCACUGUAAACAAUCACAGUUAGACAAGAUAAUCAUUCAAAUGGAUUUUCUUAUUUUGACGAGGAUAUUAACAGGAAUAUGGAAAUAUCCAUGAAGCAUUGCAAACAUAGUAAAGGAGAUUGAGCAAUACAUCCAAGGAAAGCAAGUUAAGUAUCAACACAUUUACAGGGAAGGGAAUCAGUUAGCUGAUCAUAUUGCAAAUGUAGCCAUUGACACAGGAGAGGUUAGCAUCACUAGUUUUCAGCAGCUAUAACAGAAAGGAAAAUCCAUACUUAAUAGUGAUAAAUGGCAAUGCCCCUACUUGAGAAUUACACCCAUAUGCAAUUAAAGGGCAAGAGAAGUCUUAGGCAGCAAAGUUUACAUGCAGCAUAUUUACAGGAAUUAAAAACAACAAAAGGAGAGCAUGUAGCUAGCCUACUCUACUACAACCAACAAAAUGGACUCUCAGCAUCAUGGGAGGAUCUAUUGAUCGAUUUGAGAUUUUUAAACCUGAGUGUCAAGUAGGUAUCAGUAUCUUAGUGGGUCCAAGCAUCCUCUAUCUUCAUUCCUCCCAGAUCUGAAUA
rnacentral:lncRNA from 1 species